rnacentral:rRNA from 1 species
UACGUAGGGUGCGAGCGUUAAUCGGAAUUACUGGGCGUAAAGCGUGCGCAGGCGGUUUUGUACGUUCGAUGUGAAAGCCCCGGGCUUAACCUGGGAACUGCGUUGAAAACGGCAAGACUAGAGUGUGUCAGAGGGGGGUAGAAUUCCACGUGUAGCAGUGAAAUGCGUAGAGAUGUGGAGGAAUACCGAUGGCGAAGGCAGCCCCCUGGGAUAACACUGACGCUCAGGCACGAAAGCGUGGGGAGCAAACAGG